UACUACAAAGGGAUGGCUAGGAUUGAAAAGGGGUUCCAAUUUUUUUUAAAGGGUUAAAAAAAAGAAAAUCAAAAUAUUGCGCAAUACAUUUGUAAGAUCUUGACAUUUAUGUUGUGUCAGAAACCUAUACUAUGUCAAAAUUUUGAUCACAAUCCAAAUUCAGACAGUAUCAAGCUUGAAUAUUGUGUCCAAAUUUGCCCCAGCUGUUCAGGGUUCAUCUUCUGUGGUCGUAUCAGGCUGUCCUCAGCAAAGCAAUUUAUU
rnacentral:lncRNA from 1 species